CCUACGGGUGGCAGCAGUGAGGAAUAUUGGUCAAUGGGCGUAAGCCUGAACCAGCCAAGUCGCGUGAGGGAUGAAGGUUCUAUGGAUCGUAAACCUCUUUUAUAAGGGAAUAAAGUGCGGGACGUGUCCCGUUUUGUAUGUACCUUAUGAAUAAGGAUCGGCUAACUCCGUGCCAGCAGCCGCGGUAAUACGGGGGAUCCGAGCGUUAUCCGGAUUUAUUGGGUGUAAGGGGUGCGUAGGCGGGCAUUUAAGCCGGAGGUCACAUGUCGGGGCUCAACCCCGGCCUGCCGUCGGAACUGGGGGCCUUGAGUGGGCGAGAAGUAGGCGGAAUGCGUGGUGUAGCGGUGAAAUGCAUAGAUAUCACGCAGAACCCCGAUUGCGAAGGCAGCAUACCGGCGCCCGACUGACGCUGAGGCACGAAAGUGCGGGUAUCGAACAGGAUUAGAUACCCCUGUAGUC
rnacentral:rRNA from 1 species